GAUGAACGCUGGCGGCGUGCCUAAUACAUGCAAGUCGAGCGAACGGACGAUAAGCUUGCUUCUCUGAUGUUAGCGGCGGACGGGUGAGUAACACGUGGAUAACCUACCUAUAAGACUGGGAUAACUUCGGGAAACCGGAGCUAAUACCGGAUAAUAUUUUGAACCGCAUGGUUCAAAAGUGAAAGACGGUCUUGCUGUCACUUAUAGAUGGAUCCGCGCUGCAUUAGCUAGUUGGUAAGGUAACGGCUUACCAAGGCAACGAUGCAUAGCCGACCUGAGAGGGUGACAGGCCACCCUGGAACUGAGAAACGGUCCAGACUCCUACGGGAGGCAGAAGUAGGGAAUCUUCAGCAAUGGGCGAAAGCCUGACGGAGCAACGCCGCGGGAGUGAUGAAGGUCUUCGGAUCGUAAAACUCUGUUAUUAGGGAAGAACAUAUGUGUAAGUAACUGUGCACAUCUUGACGGUACCUAAUCAGAAAGCCACGGCAAACUACGU
rnacentral:rRNA from 1 species